GGCUCAGAAUGAACGUUGGCGGCGUGGAUUAGGCAUGCAAGUCGAGCGAGAACCCGCAAGGGGGACAGCGGCAAACGGGGUAGUAACGGGUAGGUGACGUACCCUUCGGUCGGGGAUAGCCACGGGAAACUGUGGGUAAUACCCGAUAACCUCUUCGAGCGUGAUGGUUUGGAGAGCAAAGGUGAGAUUCCACCGGAGGAGCGGCCUGCUUCGUAUUAGCUAGUUGGUGAGGUAACGGCUCACCAAGGCGACGAUGCGUAGGGGGUGUGAGAGCAUGACCCCCACCACUGGGACUGAGAUACUGCCCAGACACCUACGGGUGGCUGCAGUCGAGAAUCUUCGGCAAUGGGCGCAAGCCUGACCGAGCGACGCCGCGUGUGGGAUGAAGG
rnacentral:rRNA from 1 species